rnacentral:rRNA from 1 species
UAUCUCUGUAGAGUCUGCAUAUCAAUAAGCGGAGGAAAAGAAACUAACAAGGAUUCCCUUAGUAACGGCGAGUGAAGCGGGAAGAGCUCAAAUUUGAAAUCUUCAAGGUUUUACCUUGACGAAUUGUAGUUUAAAGAAGUGUUUUCUGUUGGUGUUUUGGUAAAAGUUCUUUGGAAUAGGACAUCAUAGAGGGUGAGAAUCCCGUAUUUGACCAUUAUUUCCAGCUUUGUGAUACACUUUCAAAGAGUCGGAUUGUUUGGGAAUGCAGUCCAAAAUGGGUGGUAAAUUUCAUCUAAAGCUAAAUACUGGCGAGAGACCGAUAGCGAACAAGUACCGUGAGGGAAAGAUGAAAAGAACUUUGAAAAGAGAGUUUAAACAGUACGUGAAAUUGUCAAAAGGGAAGCGUUUGACACCAGUGUUGUUUUCUCGAAAAUCAGUUAAAAAGGGCAGGAUUUUGUGUUGUAUUGACUUUAUCAGCUUUCUGCACUCUUUUCUUGUCUUUUUUAAUGCACUUUUCGUUUAACAAGUCAACAUCAAUUUCUUUUGUUGUAAAAGAGUCAUUGGAAGGUGGCUUUCACUUCGGUGAAAGUGUUUAUAGCCUUUGGCUUCUGCAAUCGGAGAGAUUGAGGUCUGCAGCGUAGAUCCUUCGGGGCUAGAUGCGUAGACGCUAAGUUAUAGUUUUUUAUAGACAACUUGUUGACUAUAAUUAAUCAUGUAGCUUACUCGUUUGCGCUAUUUUACCUACGCUUAGGAUGUUGAAGAUGUAGCACAUCAU